rnacentral:miRNA from 1 species
AUGAUGAUCAUGAUGAUGAAUA